GAGGGACCUCAACGUGUUCUGA
rnacentral:siRNA from 1 species